rnacentral:lncRNA from 1 species
GAGACGGAGACCUGCGGAGGGCGAGGGCUGGUUGGAGGUCGCUGUCCUUUCUGGGAACCAAGCAGGGGUCGCAGGAGGGCGGGGAUGGGUCAGCGGGGAUCUCUGAGUGGGGUUCGGCUGAGAGAGGCCACAGUUUCAUCUUUGGGAAGCUACCCUGGGCCGGCCACGCGCCGUGAGCCGGACUGGCGACGCCCCCCUGCCUCCACCGUGCUCCUUCACCCGAGAAAUUCAGCUCAGCCCCAGCCUCUCGGCAACCUCCCUUUGGCUCCGCCUUUUAAAGGACCUUUACGGUAAAUAACCCCGACGCUUAGGAGAGCUUCCUCUUCUGGGCCCUCAAACUUACCCAGGCCUCUUCUAUGGACAUGCAAGAGGUCUUAGCGACGUGUUCACACGAUCACAGUUUAAAAAAUAUAUAUAAGUAGCAAAACUAAGGUAUUUUAAACCAAAUCUGUUCUUAACAGAUUUAAAGAUUUUAACUCUUAACAGGUUUAAAGAGACCACUGUCUUUUUCCACUGUGACUUUGCCUAUCUGGAGGCAUUGGAGUGGCUGUGAGCAUUUUUAGGCAUUUUGGAGUAGGGAAUACACUGAGUUUGAGUUUAUGUGGCUCGUGUGUAUACUUACGUUUUUGCUAGCCUUCCAGGAAUACCCCUAGUCCCCACUGUGCUGAAUUACAAGCACAGUGACCUGAGUGUGUCAGAAGUCUUUUGGUCAUAGAUGUCCAGCAUCAAAAAAAUGGGGAGAUAUAUUUGUCACAGUACAAGGUAAUGUGAAGUUUCUUGAUCGCUUAUGGCUCAUAACAAAAGGCUUGGUAGUUUCCUAAGUUUGACAGUCAUCCUAAAAUAAGGAGUUGGACAACUGGAUCUUUUCUAAGCUAGCAGCGAUAACAAAUUUUGAUCCACCAUUAGAGAGAGGAAUGACUCAAUUAUUUUCCUUUUCUCUCCAUAGAAUGACAAAAAUGUUGUUAAAGAGGCCAUGAAAGACUACACAGCCAAAAAAUGUAGUGAGAAAGUGCUUAGCGAUAUGCCAGGCAGUUAAUUUAACAAAUAGUGUUUUUUCAAUUUUUUGUGUGUGAUGUUUUUGGUAUGAGCUUUUUCAAUUUUGUAGAGUGAUGUAAUUUCUUUUCUCAUUUUAAAUAUUUAUAUUUGUACCUACUUUUGUAUUUUAAAUUUUCUAUUCUUUUUCUUAACGAAUACCAUGAGAUUAUAUAAGCUCAGGCCCCCAAAUCUACAUCUGCCCUUGCAUGGUUGUUAUCCCCUCCUAACCACUCUGCUCAGGGCAGGGCAUGUGUUUAUUCUCCUAAUUUUUGAGAUGAGGAGAUGGAAGCCCAGAGAGGUCAAGUCUCUUGCCCAAGGCUUUGCUACUGAGACCAGCAGAACUAGAACUAGAACCCAGCUCUUUUGGUUCAGUUCAGACGUCUGGUCACACCAGAGAAAUGUCCUAAUCUAAAACAUUUCACCAUCUUCAGGGAGUGGAGUUGAAGUGUGUCUACUUGGCCUGCCUUUGGGUUCUGGAUUGUACCUAGCGCAAUGAAGCUAAAAGGGAACGAAUUGUGUUUCUAAAGUGCCUCCCAAAUCUCAGAGGAUGGCAGCCCGCUCUGUGUUCUCCCACCCACCUCUCCCCCAGCAAUGAAAGAAGGCUAGCAUCUGGUAGGAGACAACCGCUGAUGAACUUCAGCCAUGAGACCUCUCUCUGUAUCAGGGUGGGAAGUAUGGAAUCCUUGAACAGAAACAGAAUCCGCUGGUGAACCGGCUGUGCGUGAAUAUGCAUGGGAACAUGUCUUUGUUAUUUCUCAAGCCAAGUGUAUUUUUGGUCUGUUUCCCUGGAGACUUAUAGGGAAUAGGGAGAGGCCUUACCAAGUGUAGUAUAAUUUUGCCAGCUCUACUUCCUUUCCAAUUCCCCAAAUUAGUCACCCCAUCUCUCCACUUGGACUGAUUUUUCCAAGGUCACUAACAACUUCUUUUUGUUAAAUCGAACAUUUCAGUCUUUAUCUUUAAUCAGCUCUCCCUGCUGCGGGUGUUCUGCACCCAGGCUGGAGUGCAGUGGCACGAUCUCAGUUCACUGCAACCUCUGCCUCCCAGGCUCAAGCGAUCCUUCUGCCUCAGCCUUCCUAGUAGCUGGAACCGCAGGCUCGUGCCACCAUGUCCGGCUAAUUUUUUGUAUUUUUUGUAGAGACAGGGGUUUCGCUAUGUUGCCCUGGCUGGUCUUGAACUCCUGAGCUCAAGUGAUCCUCCCACCUCAGCCUCCCAAAGUACUGGUAUUACAAGUAAGCCACUGCACCUGGCCUACCAGUGGUCUUUUCAAAUGUAAAUCUGAUCCACCUCCACUUAAAAAUUCAUCAUUGCUGCUCAUUGCUUUUAGGAUAAAGACUCAGUUGAACCCAGUCAUCUCCAGUGUAGUCCCAGUCACUCAUAUUGAUCUUUCAUUUCUCCCAUGGGCCAUCCACCUCCCUGACACAAGGCUUUUGCACAUGUUCCUUUUAUUUAUACCUGCUAUUUCCAGACAUUGUUUUGGUGCUGGGGAUAUGACAGUGAACAAAGCAGGCAAACAUUCCUGCCAUUCUAGAGCUCACUUUCUCGUGGUUGCUUUUUGGUUGGAAUGUUCUUGACCUUUUUAUUUUGUUUUGUUUUGUUUUUGUGUUUUUGUGUUUGUUUUUUCAUAGGGAGUUUAGGAUUUAUUUAUUUAUUUUAGAAUAACAGCUUUAUUGAGAUAUAAUGCACACACAUUAAAACUCAUAAAAUUCACCCAUUUAAAAUGUGCAGUUCAAUUUAGGAUAUUCAGAGUUGUAGGCCAGGUGUGGUGGCUCACACCUGUAAUCCUGGCACUUUGGGAGGCCGAGGUGGGUGGAUCACUUGAGGUCAGGAGUUCGAAACCAGCCUAGCCAACAUGGUGAAACCCCGUCUCUACUAAAAAUACAAAAAAAUUAGCCAGGUAUGGUGGCGGGUGCCUGUAAUCCCAGCUACUUGGGAGGUUAAGGCAGGAGAAUUGCUUGAACCCGGGAGGCGAAGGUUGCAGUGAGCCGAGAUCGCGCCACUGUACUCUAGCCUGGAUGACAGAGUGAGACUUGGUCUCAAAAAAAAAAAAAAAAAAAGAAUAUUCAGAGUCAUGAAUAUUGAUUCUACCAUCACCACAAUCAAUUUUGAAAUUGUUUUAUCACCCCAGAAAGAAACCUUAAACCCAUUAGUAGUCACUGCCCCCAACUCCUCAGCCUAGACAGCCAGUCUACUUUCUAUCUCUAUGGAUUUGCCAGUUUUGUACAUUUCAUAUAAAUAGAAUCAUGUGGUGUUUCGUGACUGGCUUCUUUCACUUGGCAUAAUGUUUUCAAGCUUCGUCCACGCUGCCAUGCCGUAGCAUGUAUCAGUACUUCAAUUUUAUUGCCAGGUAAUAUUCCAUUGUGAUAGAUCACAUUUUGUUUAUCUGUUCAUUCGUGGAAGGACAUUUGGGUUAUUUCCACUCUUUGGCUAUUAUGAAUAAUGAUGCUAUGAACAUUCAUGUACAAUUUUUUGUAUGAACAUACGUCUUCAUUUUCUCGGGUAUAAACCUAGGAGUGGAAUUGCUGGAUCCUAUGGUAGCUUUAUGUUCAACUUUUUGAGAAACUGCCAGAUUUUUACAAAGUGGCCGUACCAUUUUACCUUCCUACCAAUAGUAUAUGAGAAUUCCAGUUUCUCUACAUCCUUGCUAUUAUAGGUUGAAUUGUGGCUCCCCAAAAUUCAUGUGUCGAAGUCCUAAUCCCCAGUACCUCAUAAUGUGAAAUUAUUUGGAGUCAUUUGGAGUCAUUAUAUUAAUAGAGUCAUUAUAGAUGCAAUUAGUGAGGCUGAGAUGAGGUCUUAUUGGAGUAGGUUGGGCCCCUUAUCCAAUAUUACUGGUGUCUUUUAUAAAAAUGGGAAAUGUGGACACAGACACGCACACAGGGAGAAUGGCACGUGAAGACUGGAAUUAUACUGCCAUAGCCAAGGACCUACCAGAAGCUAGGAGAGAAACCUGGAACAAAUCCUUCUUUGGGGCCUUCAGAGGGAGCAUGGCCCUCUGAUAACUUGAUCUUGGACUUCUUGCCUCCAGAACAUGAGACAACAAAUUUCUGUUGUUUAAGUCACUCAGUUUGUGGUACUUUGUUAUGGCAGCUUUAGCAAACUGAUACACUCUCUGACACUUGUUAUUUUCCAUUUUUGUAGUUAUAACCAUCCCACUGGGUGUGAAGUGGUAUCUCAUUUGAUUUUGACUGGCACUUCCCUAUGCAAAUGAUGUUAAGCAUGCUUUCAUGUGCUUAUUAACCAUUUGUGUAUCUUCUGAUAAAUGUCUAUUCAAAUCCUUUGCUUAUUUAAAAAAAUUGGGUUGUCUUUUUACUAUUGAAUUUUAGGAGUUCUUGAUGUAGUCUAGAUAGAAGUCCCUUAUUAGAUAUAUGUUUUGCAAACAUUUUCUCCUAUGCUCAGGUAUCUUUUCACUUUCUUUUUUUGUUUUAGAGACAGGGUCUUCCUCUGUCACCCAGGGUGGAGUGCAGUGGUACUAUCAUGGCUCACUGAGCUCACUGAGGUUGCAAACUCCUGGGCUCAGGAAUCCUCCUACCUCAGCCUCCUGAGUAGCUAGGACUACAGGGGUGUGCCACCAGGCCUGGCUAAUUUUUUUUUUUUAAGAGAUGGAGUCUCACUAUGUUGCCCAGCCUGGUCUUGAACUCCUGGCUUCAAGCAAUCCUCCCACCUCAGCCUCCCAAAUUAUUGGGAUUAUAGGCUUGAACCAAUGAGCCCAGCCCUGUUUUCACUUUCUUGAUGGCGUCCUUUGAAGCAUAAAAGUUUUUAAUUUUGAUGAAGUCCAAUUUAUCUAUUUUAUAACUUUAUUGCUUGUUUUGCUGUUGUAGCUAGUCCCCUUCUGUCUUGCUCUAGCUCAAAUGCCACUUCCUCGGGGAAGAUUUCAUUUCUUUAAUAUAUGCAAACUCUGUUUGCAAUUAUAAAUUUUUUUGAGUGAGAUUUGUUUAGUUGUCCUCUCCUCUGGACUGUAAAUUCCAAGAGAGUAGGGUCCGAGUCAGGUGUCUGUCUUCCCAUUCUGUCCCUAUCUCCCAGCACAGUGACGGCUUGGUAGCAGAGCAGGUGCUCAGAAUUGCUGAAUGAAUAAAUGAAUAAAUGCUGAGUUGACUCUGUGGACCAUUUCCUCCAUGAAAUGCUUUUUUUUUUUUUUUUUUUUUUUUUUGAGACAGAGUCUUGCUCUGCUGCCCAGGCUGGAGUGCAGUGACAUGAUCUUGGCUCACUGCAACCUCUGCCUCCUGUGUUCAAGUGAUUCUCCUGCCCUAGCCUCCCGAGUAGCUGUGAUUACAGGCACCCAACACCACGCCUGCCUAAUCUUUCAUAUUUUUAGUAGAGAUGGGGUUUCACCAUGUUGGCCAGGAUGGUCUUGAACUCCUGACCUCAGGUGAUCUGCCCGCCUUGGCCUCCCAAAGUGCUGGGAUUACAGGUGUGAGCCACCGUGCCUGGCCAAAACGCUCUUUAUUUGGCCUUGAGAAUACCCACGUCCUGCUUUUCCUCCUACUUCUUCAGCUGCUCCUCAGUCUGUCUGCUGGUUCCCUUUCAUUUAUUUAUCCAGCAGGUUGAGACAGAAGGUUAAGUAGGAUUGGGAUUGGGCACAGGCCCUCCUCUCCUUUUACCCUUCACACUCUUUGCUUCCACUACCAGGGCUUUAAUGACCAUUUUUAGACUAAUGACUCUCAAAUGUGUUUCCUACCUAGAUGGCUUUCCUAAGCUGCAUAUCCAACUACCUACUGGAUGCCUCUAGUAGAAUGUCAUAUAGAUUCCUAAAAUGCAACGUGGUCACAGCCUUUAUCUUUCCUUACCCCCGAUCCCAAUCCUGCUUAACCUUCUAUCUCAACCUGUUGCCCUAAACCCAAAAUCCAGGCAUUGUCUGUCUUAGAUCAGUUUCCCCAGAAAUAGACCCUGAGAUGAAGAUUAGUAUGCAAGUGAUUUGUCAAGGGAGUCCUCCCAGGGGAGAAGCAGGACAAAACAUGGAGGUAAAAGUCAAGCAAGAGUGCAGUUUUAGGCCAAGCCCCGCAGAGAUACUUGGCCUAAUGCCUCAGGGGAACACUUGGAACCUGCCCUGACUCCAUUCCAAUUGUCUGGAAGAGUUUGUGUAGAAUUGGUAUUAUUUCUUUGUUAAAUGUUUAGUAGAAUUCACUAGGGAAGCCAACUGGACCUGAAGUGUCCUUUGUGAAAAGAUUUUUAGCUACACAUUCAAUCCCUUUGAUAGCUAUCCAGUUACUUUGAUUCUCUGUUUCUUGAGAUUUUUGGUAAAUGAACCCAAAGAAUGUGUGGCAAUGCCUAGAUUUCAGGUUUGGGGCAACAGGCUGAAAUAGAAGGUUAAGCAGGAUUGGAAUUGUGGGUAAGGAAAGAUAAAGGCUGUGGCCACGUUGCAUUUUAGGAAUCUAUAUGAUAUUCUACUAGAAACACACAAAGAAUGUGUUCAUUUUAUCUAAAUUGUCAAAUGUAUUGCCACAAAGUUAUUCACAAAAUUCCUUUUUAAACUUUUAAAUAUCUUUAAAGUCUGUUGUGAUGUCAUUUGUUUUAUUUCUGACAUUGGUAAUUUGUGUCUUCCCUCUUUUUUUCCUGAUCAUUCUGGCUAGAAGUUUAUCAAUUUCAUUGAUAUUUCUCAAAGAAACAAGUUUUAGUUUCAUUGGUUUUCUCUAUUGUUUUUUAAAUUAUUCUGUUGAAUUUAGCCAGGAUGAUGCCUCACACCUGUAAUCUCAACACUUUGGGAGUCUGAAGCAGGUGGAUCACUUGAGGUCAGGAGUUCAAGACCAGACUGGCCAACAUGGUGAAACCCUGUCUCUACUAAAAUACAAAAAUUAGCCAGGCAUGGUGGCACAUUCCUGUAAUCUCAGCUACUUGAGAGGCUGAAGCACAAGAAUUGCUUGAAUCCAGGAGGCGGAGGUUGCAGUGAGCCAAGAUUAUGCCACUGCACUCCAGCCUGGGCGACAGAGUGAGCAAGAUCCAUCUCUAAAUAAAUAAAAAUAAAUUAUUCUAUUGAAUUUAGAAUUACUUUAUUUUUUUUAAUAUGGAACACUUCACAAAUUUUCAUGUCAUCCUUGUGCAGGGACCGUGCUAAUCUCUGUAUCAUUCCAGUUUUAGUAUAUGUGCUGCUGAAAUGAGCAUGAUUGAAUCCAUGGUGUCUGUUUUGAAUUUUUUAAACUUCCCAUUUAAAAAAUGUAUUGAUUUCUGCUUUGAUAUUUAUUAUUUCCUUUUUAUCUACUUACUUUCAGUUUUACUUACUCUUCUUUUUCUAGUUUCUUAAGUUGGAAACUGAGAUCAUGGAUUUUGGACCUUUUUUUUUUGAAAUGGAGUCUUACUCUGUCGCCCAGGCUGGAGUGCAGUGGCACGAUCUCAUCCACUGCAACCUCCACCUCCCAGGUUUCAAGCAAUUCUGCCUCAGCCUCUCGAGUAGCUGGGAAUACAGUCGCCCGCCACCAUGCCUGGCUAAUUUUUGUAUUUCAGUAGAGACAGGGUUUCGCCAUGUUGGCCAGAAUGGCCUCGAACUCCUGAUCUCAGGUGAUCCACCCACGUCGGCCUCCCAAAGUGCUGGGAUUACAGGCGUAAGCCACCAUGCCUGGUCUCCUUUCUUCUUUUCUAAUAGAGGUUCUUAGUGCUGUGCAUUUCUAAGUACUGCUUUUAGUAGCACCCCACAAACUUCACUGUUUUGGAUUUUUAUUUUUAUUCAGUUCAAAAUACUUUCUAACUUAUAUCUUACUUGAUCCAUAAGUUAUUUAGGAGUAUGUUAUUUAAUUUCCAAAUAUUUGGGAAAUUUCCAGAGAGCUUUCUGUUAACGAUUUCUAAUUUAAUUUCAUUGAGUUUAGAGAAUAUACAUUGUGUGUCUUGAAUAAUUGUAACAAUAAUUUUAAUUGUUUUAUGCCCCCAAAAUGGCCUAUCUUGGUAAUUGUUCCGUGUGCACUUGAAAAGAAUGUGUAUGCUGCUGUUGUGAGUGGAGUGUCCCAUAAAUGUCAGUGAGGUCAAGUUGGUUGACAGUGUUGUUCAUAUUUUCUAUAGUCUCAUGAGUUUCUGUCUAUGUGUUCUGUCAAUUAUUGGGAGAGAUAUUGAAACCUCUGAAUAUAAUUGUAGAUUUGUCUAUUUCUCCAUACAGUUCUCUCAGUUUUUCAAAACCAGUCUUGAAACUGGUUUUAGGUGCAUAAACAUUUAGGACUAUUAUGUUCUCUUGGUGAGUUGACCCUUGUAUCAUUGUAAGAUGACCUUCUUUAUUUUCUCUGCAAUCUAUUUUAUCUGAUAUUAAUAUAGUCACUGUGAAUUUCUUUUAGUAUUGGCAUCAUAUGUCUUUUAACCUAUUUGUUUCUUUAUAUUUAAAGUGUGUUUCUUUUAGGCAGCAUGUAGUUGGGUCUUUUUUUAAAGAAAAUCCAAACUGACAAUCUGUGCCAUUUAAUUAAUUAAAUUACAUUUAAUGUGAUUUUAAAGAUAUGAUUAGGUGUGUCAGCACCUUGCUAUUUGUUUUCUAUUUGUCCUAUCUAUUCUUUGUUUCCUUUUCCACCUGCUUUUGGGUUGACUAUUUUUGUAUUUUUAAAAAAUUCUGCUUUAUUUUCUUAAUUGGCUUUUUGCUAUAACUCUAUUUUUUUUUUUAACAGGGUCUUGCUCUCUUGCCCAGACUGGAGUGCAGCAGCGUGAUCACAUUUCACUGCAGCCUCCAACUCCUGGUCUCAAGCAGUCCUCCCACCUCAGUUUCCCCAGUAGCUGGGAUUACAAGUAUGCUCCACCAUACCUUGCUAAUUUUUAAAUUACUUCAGAGACAGGAUCUAGCUCUGUUGCCCAGGCUGGUCUUGAACUCUUGGCCACCAGUGAUCCUCCUGCCUUGGCUUCCCAAAGUGCUGGGAUUAUAGGAGUGAGCUACCACACCUGGCCUCUAACUCUUAAUUUCAUUAUUUUAGUGGUUGCUGUAUGGUUUAUAGCAUACAUCUUAAAUUUAUCAUAGUCUAUGUAUUCAAGUUCACUAAUCAUUUUUUCUUUAAAAUCUAAUCUGCUAAUCCCUUUCAGUGUAUAAUUCAUCUCACACAUUGUAGCUUUCAUCUCUGGAUGAUCAAUUUAGGUUUUUAAUUUUAUACACCUUCUAAGUGUCUACUUAACUUUUGAACAUACAAAAUAUAGUUGUAACAAUUGUUUUACUGUCCUUGUCUGAUAAUCCUAACACCUAUGUCAGUUCUAGGUUGGCUUCCAUUGAUUUAUUUUUCUCCUCCUUAUAGGUGAUAUUUUUCUACUUCUUUGUAAGCCAGGUAAUCUUUGAUCAGGUGCCAAACAUUGUAAAUUUUACUUUGUUGGGUGCUAGAUUAUUUUGUAUUCCUUUAAUUAUGUUUGAACUUUGUUCUGGGACGCAGUUACUUGGAAAUGGUUUGAUCCUUUUGAGUUUUGUUUUAAGCUGGGCUAUAAAGGAAAUCUCAGCAAAUUUUACAGGAUUGAAAUCUCUGACAAAUUAAACUAGAAAUCAAUAACAAAAAACAACUAGAAGAUUACAAAUAUUUGGAAGUUAAGCAACACACUUGCUAAGAAUGUUCUCAUGGGCCAAAGAAGAAAUCACAGUGGAAAUAAGACAAUGUUUAAAACUAAAUGAUAACAGAGAAAUGGCGUAUCAAAAUUGUGAGUUCAUUGAAAAUGCUUACAAGGAAAAGAAAAAAAAACCUGUGGGGGUAUUUUGAUCAUUGUUCAAUGUAUAUUGGAAAAGAUGGCAUUCUGCAGCUAUUGGGUAUGAUAAUUAUAUGUCAUCUAGAUCAGUUUUGUUAAUCAUGUUAUUCAAAAUCUCCUAUAUCCUAAUGUUGAUUUCUUGUCUACUUAUUCUACCAGUUAUUGAGAGCUAUAUGUUAAAAAAUUUCCAACUAUUAUUAUGGAUUUCUCUUUUUCCUUUUAGACCUGUCAGUUAUUACUUUUAUGUUUUGAGGCUGUUUUUAAUUGCAUAUAUAGUUAGGAUUUUAUAUUUUCCUAUUAAAAUUUCCCUUUCGUUAUUAUGAAAUGUCUCUCAUUAUCUCUAGCAAUACUUUUUUCCUUAUGUUUAUGAUACCAGUACAGAUACACCAGCUUCCUUUUGGUGUUUUCAUGACUUAUUUUUUUUCUUUUUUUAAAAAAAUCGCUUUCUUUUCUUUCUUUCUUUCUUUCUUUCUUUCUUUCUUUCUUUCUUUCUUUCUUUCUUUCUCUUUCUUUUUCUUUCUUUCUUCCUUCCUUCCUUUCCUUUCUUUCCUUCUUUCUCUUUCUCUCUUCCCUUUCCCCUUCCCCUUCCCCUUCCCUUCCCUUCCCCUCCCCUUCCUCUCCCCUCCCCUCCCCUUCCUUCUUUUCUUUCUUUCCAGAGUCUCGCUCUGUUGCCCAGGCUGGAGUGCAGUGGCACAAUCUCAGCUCACUGCAACCUCCACCUCCCGGGUUCAAGUGUUUCUCAUGCCUCAGCCUCCCAAGUAGCUAGGAUAACAGGCGUGUGCCACCACACCCGGCUAAUUUUCGUAUACUUAGUAGAGAUGGGGUUUCACCAUGUUGGCCAGGCUGGUCUUGAACUCUUAACCUCAGGUGAUCCACCCACCUCAGCCUCCCAAAGUGCUAGGAUUACAGGCAUGAGCCACCACACCUGGCCAAAAAUCCCUUUAUUUCCAACCUUUAUGCAUCCUUAUGUUUAAGGUGUGUCUUCUAUAACAGCAUAUAGUUGUUUUUUUUUUCUUGUCCAGUCUGAAAAUCUUUGCCUUUAAUUGAUUUAUAUUAUGGUAAUUACUGAUACUGUAGGGUUUAAAGUAUACCAUUUUGCCAUUUUUUUCCAUUUUUCACAUCUGUUUUUUGUUUCUUUUUACCUCUUUCUUGCCUUCUUUUGGAUCAAUCAAUAUUUUCCUAAUUAUUUCAUUUUCAUCCUCUAUAAAUUAGUAGUCACGUGUUUGCUAUUAUUGUUAUUUUAUUACCCACAUAUUAUAGCAUGCAUCCUUGGCUUAAUUAGGUCACCCUUGAAUUAGUACUUUCACCCUUUUCUAAAUAACUCUAGGGACCUUAUGACACUUUAAUUCAUUUUAGCAUUCUCCUGGCUUUCAUGUUAUUGUUGUCAUGUAUUUUUUUUUUUUUUGAGACAGAGUCUUGCUAUGUUGCCCAGGCUGGCCUUCAACUCCUAGGGACAAUGGAUCUGCCCUCCUCAGCCUCCCGAGUAGCUGAGAUUACAGGAAUGUGCCACCACACCUGGCUACAGCAAGGCUUUUGACAAAAAUGGUUGAAAGAAUUCAAAACUGAGGAUCCUAGUGCUGAGGGUGGGAUAUUUUGUGUUAUUGGUCAGUAAGAAUGUCUCUUACUUGAGAUAUGAAUCCUGAAGGUGGUAAGAGUUGAUUUAUUUAGACAGAGUUAAUUUUAAUUAGUGAAAACUGAAGAACUGACUUGUAUUUUGGUCUGACGUAUGAUUGUUUCAACUUUGCUGCAGUAGCACCUACAAGAGGACCAACAUUCUCCAGGAAAUUCUGUCCUUUAAAACCAUGAGAUGAAUAAUCUUGGUCUGGAAGAUAUUCAUAGAAAGAAGCUUAGAAUGUUUGAUUUUUGAGCAUGAAUUAACUGUACAGUCAUCAAUUAAAUAAGCUGAUCCACUGAGUAAUUGUUGAGAUGAUCCUUCUGGAUGCUGAAUAAUGCUAGCCUAGAAUGGGGAUUUGACAUUGAUAUAUUCUUUCCUAUUAACAAAUCCAGUUUUCUUUCUUCCUCCCAUCCUCCCUCCUUCUUUCUUUCUUCCUUUCUUUUCCUUUCAUUUGCCUUCCUUUCCUUCCUUCCCUUCCCUUUCACAAUAUUUUACUUUAAAAAAAUUAUGAAAUCCAUCAUGUACACUUCAAUGUGUUAAAUAUAUAUGUACAUUUUAAAGAUUAAUAGUCCAGUGAACAUCUGUGUACCCACUACUCAGGGUGAGAAACAAAUAUAACGAUGGUCUCGUGUGUUCCUUGUGGGCUCUUCCCCAAUUCUUCCUUCUCCACAGAGACCACUUCCACCUGCCUUCUGUGGUAGUUAUCUUAUAAUCCUCUUCAUAAUUUCUUUCUUUUUUUUUUUUUUUGAGAUGGAGUCUCGCUCUGUCGCCCAGGCUGGAGUGCAGUGGCAUGAUCUCAGCUCACUGCAAGCUCUGCCUCCUGGGUUCAUGCCAUUCUCCUGCCUCAGCCUCCCGAGUAGCUGGGACUACAGGCACCCGCCACCACGCCUGGCUAAUAUUUGUAUUUUUAGUAGAGACUGGGUUUCACCGCAUUAGCCAGGAUGGUCUCGAUCUCCUGACCUCGUGAUCCGCCCGCCUUGGCCUCCCAAAGUGCUGGGAUUACAGGCGUGAGCCACCGUGCCUGGCCCCUCUUCAUAAUUUCUAACACCUCUGAAUUCUUCUACUGUAUAUAUAUAUAUAUAUAUACACACACACACACACACACACAAUUAUAUAUAUUUAUAUAUACAUUAUAUAUAUACAUUAUAAUGUGUAUAUAUAUAAUGCAUAUAUAUAGUAGAAGAAUUUACUUUCUAUAUAGUAAAUUUUGUGUAUACACACACAUACACAUACAAAACUGGAUCAGUAAGGAAUUUACACUUACUUCUUUAGAUGAAGACCCCCAGGAGAGGGUAAGAUGACAGAGUCUCUGGGUCAGAAGUGACCUCAUUUUCCCUGAAAGUUUACAGGGCAAAGUCACAAGUGAGUCUGUUAUGUUUGGGGUGUUUGUCCUCUUCAAAUCUCAUGUUGAAAUGUAACCGUCACUGUUAGAGGUGAGACCUGGUGGGAGGUGAUUUGAUCAUGGGGGUGGAUCCUUCACAAAUGGCUUAGCACCAUUUCUUGGUGAUGUUCUCUCCCAGUUAGUUCACAUGAGAACUGGUUGUUUAAAAGAAUCUGAGACCUCCCCCUUCUCUCUUUUGCGCCCUCUCUUCACCAUGUGAUGUGCUGGCUCCCCUUCACUUUGUGCCAUGAUUGAAAGCUUCCUGAGGCCUUCACAAGAAGCUGAUGCUGGCACCAUGCUUCCUGUACAGCCUGCAGAAACGUGAGCCAAAUCAAAGCCUGUUUUCUUUAUAAAUUACCUAGUCUCAGGUAUUUCUUUAUAGCAGCACAAGAAUGGACUAACACAGAGUCUGUGGGAAAUAGGACUCAAAAAAUUGGUGGCAGGGUGAAGUGUCACCCAAAUACUGGCCAUCAGGCAGGAAUAUGGUCAGGGGGAGUAGGCUGCUCUUAUUUUCUCACUCAAAGUUCCCACAGCCUACUUUCAGCUCUCGGGAAUGGGUGAGAACAAAACAUUUUUGUGGGAGUGAAAUAAAUAUCUUUAGAUAAUCCACGUAGGAGGGUAAGGAGGGAAUAACAGGAACUUCAUCAACACAUGAUAUAUUAAUCCAUUUUAACUAUAAAGAACUACCUGAGACUGAGUAAUUUAUGAAGAAAAGAGGUUUAAUUUCCUCACAUUUCCACAGGCUUAACAGGAAGCAUGGCUGGUAACUUACAAUUGUGGUGGAGGGGUUAGGGGAAUCAAGCAUGUCUUACCGUGGUGGAGCAGGAAAGAGCGAGAGUGAAGAGGGAAGUGCCACACACUUUUGAACAACCAGAUCUUGUGAGAACUCACUCUCACAAGAAUAGCAAGCGGGAACUCCACCCCAAUGAUUCAAUCACCUGCCACCAGGCCCCUCCCCCCACAUGUGGGGAUUACAAUUCGAAAUGAGAUUUGGGUGAGGACAGAGCCAAACCAUAUCAUUCCACCCCUGGCCCCUCCAAAAUCUCAUGUCAUCACAUUUCAAAGCCAAGCAUGCCUUCCCAACAGUCCCCCAAAGUCUUAACUCAUUCCAGCAUUAACUCAAAAGUCUAAGUCCAAAGUCUCAUCUGAGACAAGGCAAGCCCCUUCCGCCUAUGAGCCUGUAAAAUAAAAAACAAGUUAGUAACUUCCAAGAUACAAUGGAAAUACAGGAAUUAGGUAAAUGCUCCCAUUGCAAAGGGGGAAAUUGGCCAAAACCAAGGGACUACAGGUCCUAUGCAAGAUCAAAACCUGGCAAGGAAGUCAUUAAAUCUUUUUUUUUUUUUUUUUUUUUGGAGACAGAGUCUUGCUCUGUCACCCAGGGUGGAGUGCAGUGGUGCUAUCUUGGCUCACUGCAACCUCCACCUUCUGGGUUCAAGCAAUUCUCCUGCCUUAGCCUCCCGAGUAGCUGGGACUACAGGCACAUGCUGACAUGCCCAGCUAAUUUUUUGUAUUUUAUUAGAGACAGGGUUUCACCGUGUUACCCAGGCUGUUCUUGAACUCCUGAACUCAGGCAAUCCACCCAUCUCGGCCUCCCAAAGUACUAGGAUUACAGGCGUGAGCCACUGUCCCUGGCUGGAAGUCAUUAAAUCUUAAACCUCCAAAAUAAUCUCCUUUGACUCCAUGUCUCACAUCCAGGGCAUGCUGAUGCAAGAGGUGGGCUCCCAAGGCCUUGGGAAGUUUUGCCUCUGUGGCUCUGCAGGGUACAGCCCCCAUAGCUGCUUUCAUGGGCUGGCAUUGAGUGCCUGUGGCUUUUCUGGGCACAUGGUGCAAGCUGUCAGUGGAUGUACCAUUCUGGGGUUUGGAGGACGGUGGCCCUCUUCUCAUGGUUCCACUAGGCAGUGCCCUGGUGGGGACUCUGUGUCAGGGCUCCAAUCCCACACUUCCCCGCUGCACUGCCCAUGAGGGCUCUGCCCCUGCAGCUGACUUCUGCCUGGACAUCCAGGCAUUUCCAUACAUCCUCUGAAAUCUAGGUGGAGAUUCCAAAACCUCAACUCUUGCCAUCUGCACACCUGCAGGCCCAACAUCACAUGGAAGCUGCCAAAGACUUGGGGCUUGCAAUCUCUGAAGCAAUGGCCCGAGCUGUACCUUGGCCCCUUUUAGCCAUGGCUAGAGCUGGAGUGGCUGGGAUCCAGGGCAUCACGUCCCAAGGCUGCACAGAGCUGCUGGGGCCUGGGCCUGGGCCAUGAAACCAUUUUUUCCUUCUAGGUCUCUGGGCUUGUGAUGGGAGGGGCUGCCUCAGUGGUCUCUGAAAUGCCCAGGAGACAUUUUCCCCAUUGUCUUGGCUAUUUAACUCUUCUUUACUUAUGCAAACUUCUGCAGCAGGCUUGAAUUUCUCCCCAGAAAAUGGAUUUUUCUUUUCUACCACAUGGCCAGGCUGCAAAUUUUCUAAACUUAUAUGCUGUACUUCCCUUUUAAAUGUAAGUUCCAGUUUCAGAUCAUCUCUUUGUUCAUGCAUAUGAGCAUACACUUUUAGAAACAGCCAGUUUACCUCCUGAAUGCUUUGCUGCUUAGAAAUUUCUUCCAGCAGAUACCCUAAAUCAUCUCUCUCAAGUUCAAAGUUCCACAGAUCUCUAGGGCAGGGGAAAAAAUGCUACCAGUAUCUUUGCUAAAGCAUAGCAAGAGUGACCUUUACUCUAGUUCUCAAUAAGUUCCUCAUCUCCAUCUGAGACCACUUGAGUCUGGACUUCAUUGUCCAUAUCACUAUCAGCAUUCUCAUCAAAACAAUUCAACAAAUCUUCAUGAAGUUCCAAACUUUCCCACGUCUUCCUGUCUUCUUCUGAGCUUUCCGAACUGUUCCAACCUCUGCCUGUUACCCAGUUCCAAAGUUGCUUCCACAUUUUCAGAUAUCUUUAUAGCUGUUAUAAAUAAUUUUCUGUAUAGUCCAUUUUCACACUGCUAUAAAGAGCUGCCUGAGACUGAGUAAUUUGUGAAGAAAAGAGGUUUAAUUCACUCACAGUUCUGCAGGCUUAACAGGAAGCAUGGCUGGAAAGCCUCAGGAAACUUACAAUCAUGGCAGAACUUAAAGGGGAAGCAAGCGUGUCUUACCAUGGCAGAGCAGGAGAGAGAAAGAGUGAAGGGGAAGUGCCACACACUUUCAAACAACCAGAUCGCAUGAGAAUUCACUCACAGUCAAGAACAGCAAUGGGGAAGUCCAUGCCCAUGAUUCAAUCACCUCUCACCAGACCCCUCCCCUGACAUGUGGGGAUUAAAAUUCAAGAUGAGAUUUGGGUGGGGAUGCAGAGCCAAACCAUAUCACAUGGUCAACACAAGCUUCUUGGUGAUGCCCCAAACUUCAGAACCAGUUAAAGGUUUACCAUCAGCCAGAAGAGCUGUGGGAAUGAGCCUCCCAGAAAGAAGAGAUGGAAGGUGUUUGGCAUCUGCAGUGAUGAUGAUGAUGAUGAUCAUGAUCAUGAUCAUGAUGCUGGCUAAAUGCCGACUCUGAGCCCUGCAUGAUGGUAAGCAGUGUCUAUGGAUUGGCUCUUUAAUCCUCAUAACAAUGUCUAUCUAAUGUCUAUCUAGAGGUAGAUAUUAAGAUAAUGCCUAUUUUUCAAAUGAAGAAACUGAGCCUCCAAGAGAUUAAGUAACUGGCUCAAGGUCACACAGUUGGUAAAUUGAAACAUGAGUGCUUACAUGGAUGUUUUCCAGGGAUUGAGGCCGCAUUAACUGGUGGGGAGAGAAAUGAAGAGCCCAGCACAAGGGGUGGACUGAUGGGAGCAUGUUUGGGCUAGUGGGAAUAAUAAUAAAAAAUAAUAGUCAGCACUUAUUGAAUGCUUACUAAGUGGCUGGCAUUGUUCUAAGCACUUUUACAUGCAUUAACUCGAGGUGAAAUAAAACCCAAAUACACAGAACUGGCAAAUGAGGGUCCAUGCUUGAGGGUUUGGAAAGACUUGGAAAUACCCUUUGGGCACAUCAAGCAGGCAAAAAAAAAAAAAAAAAAAAAAAAAAAUCAGCUGCAUUUUGGAAGCUUCCUCUGAUCAAAGAUACCCAUUCAUCCAACAUUUAUUUAUGAAAUGCCUGUUGUUUCCCAGGCAUUGUUCUAGGCACUGAGAACAGGACAGAUUCCAGGAGAAGGAGAAGUCCAGGAACACAAAAAGAUAGAAAGAAAUACUCAGAAGUGCCAUAUUUUUUACCUUUUCAUUGAUACUACCAGAAAAGGGAAAAAAUAAAUACUGUUUGAUUUUGCCACCAGGCACCACAAAACUGCGCCCCUGCCUGAUUUCAUUUCAGCAAGCUUUACUGUGAAGUGUUUAUGUGCCAGGUACCAUGUGUAGAAGCGCUGGCCCAGAGAUGAAGAUGAAGUUUCUAUCCUUAAGGCAUGCAAUGUGGGAGAUGAACAGGUAAGUGGAUAAUUACAUUACAAGUGAUUCGUGCCAUGAUUGAGGUGUGAACAAAAUUCCACGGGAGCAAAGAAGAGUGGCUAAUUCUGCCUAGGGGUGUCAGAUAAUGUUUAAUGGAGGAAGGGGGCAUCUCAACUGGGCCUGAGGGAGGACUAGGAGAUUGCCAGGUGGAGAUGGGGAGAAAAGACCUCUAGAGAGGAGUAGUUUGUGGACAGAAUGAUCUAAUUGCAGAUACUAAGUUCUGAAAUGUGGACUGUGCAUGGACAGCCUAGUACCCUGACAAUUGUGAGGGCAGGGGAGUCCACAGAGAUUACUAAUUUAUUGAAAAAGCACUGAGGCUUGUGUUGGUGCCAGCUAAAAAGACUGAGUUGAUAAACAACCCAUCUUUGUUUCUCUAUGCAGAAAUCACCCAGACACCUGCCAUAUUUUUUCUAGCCUAUGUUUAAGUUAAGGUGUCAAAAAGACUUGAAGUGCUCCUGUACACAUUUGGGGAGGGGAGUAUAUUGGUACAACCCCUGUGGAAGGCAGAUUGGCAACAUCUGCCAGAAUUACAAAGGCAUAUAGCUUGUGACCCAGCAAGUUCACUUCUAGGAAUUUAUCCUUGGAUGCACUCAGUCACAUGUAAAAUAACUUAUGUACGAGUAUUCAUCACAUCAUUGUAACAGCAAAAGAUUGGAAAAAAAGUAAGUGCUCAUUACAAGGGAAUUGGUUAAGUACAUUAUGAUAUCUCUUUAAAAUGGAACACUAUUCAAUCUAAAAACAAUAAGGUAGCUCUUUCCAUCCUGUUGGAAAUGAUUUCAAGGAUAUAUUGUCAAAUGAAAAAAGCAAGGGCAGAACCACACAUAUAAAACAGGGAUGGAAAGAAUUCAAGUCCUCCACGGAGUAUGCAAACUGCUCAAUUAAAAGUCCCUGGGUUGCCCUACCUCCAGCCUCCUUGUGAUGUGUGAUGCAAAACUCACUGUUUAAGCCAGUUGAGAAGGAGUUUUCUGGUUUUGUAGCCAAAAACAUCCAGACGCAGAACUCUAAGGUCGGGAGGCCUUUGUGUUUGGACCUAGAAAAAUGCAGAGGCAGGAGGUAAAUCUUUGACUUACAGAAAUUCCCCCGUGUACUCCGUAUUAACUCUAGUGGGCACUCUCAAGUGCUUUCCCCUCUAGAAAUUCCAAGCCCUGAAUUGCAGAGCAGCCAGGCAUUCACAUGAUGCAGCCGUGGGGCUUUCUAUGUAGAGAUGCAAUUUGGCAGGAUUCAACCUGCCUGACUUCUUUUUUUGUAAAUACAACCUCAUCAGAGCAACAAGCUAAAAGCCUGGCAGAAUCUAUUUGCAGUCAGGGAGCAAGAGUGCAAUGCAAUGAAUGUUAGAAUCAAGCCUUAUGAGGUGGAACUUGAACAACUCGCUCUGUCCACAGGAGGCCCUAGAUAGCCCAGAGUCUCUACAGUGACUAAAAACAGAUCUCUGGAUCAAGCCAUGUAGUCUGAGACUUUGUCCACAUAGCUGAAAUUGUCCUGUCAGUAUCAUCCAGACAAUUUUAAGGAGUCUUUGUCCAUUCAUUCAAGAAAAACAAAUAUUUGUCCCCGGCACUCUGCUAGGUGCUAGGGAUACAACAAUGAGCAAAACCAAGAUGAUCUGUCCUUUAUUGACUUACUGUCUAGAGAAAGAGAUGGUAAUUAGUUAAAUGGUUAUUAAAUAGGUAUACAAUUAUAACUGAGUGGAAUGUUAUAGAGGAAAGAUUCAUGGCAGAUCAGAGGCAAAAAAAAAUACAUACAUUAGAAUGGAAUCAGAGAAGCCCUGCCGGAGAAAAUGACAGCUGAGCUGACAUCUGAAGAAUGAGUAGGAGUUAACUAGGUGAUACAGGAGAAGAGCGUUCCAGGCAGAAGGAAUGUUUCAUGCAAAGGCCCUGGGGUGGGAGGGAGCAUGGAACACUCAAGGAACUGAAAGGUCACCAUGUGGUUGGAGGGCAGAGAGUGGGGGGAGUGUGCUGGGAGGGGAGGCUGGAGCAGCAAGCAGGCGCCAGGCAGGGCAAAGCCACGGAGGAGAUAGAAAGUAUUUCUGUAAGAGCAACAGAAAAUCAUUUGUGGUACAGAGUGUCAGUUGUCCCCCAAUAUUCACUUCCCCCCUUUAUUCCUUUAAUAUUGGAACCCCUAAGUUUAGGCUCAGCAUGCGGCUAUCCAAUUAAAAAUCACUUCCCAGACUCCUUUGCAUAUAAGCUUUUCCAUGUGACCAAAACAACCUAGCCAAUUGCUCUGGCCAAUGGGCUGUGAGAAGUAAGUGCAGGCUUCCAUUUCCUCCUAUUCUCCUCUCACUGGCUCCAGUGCAGUCAUGAUGGUGGGGGCUGGAGGAGCCAUCCUAGGCCAGGAGAUGGAAGCCAUAUGUUGAGGAUGGCAAGGCAACAAAAUAGAGGGAAACUGGAUCCCCUCACCAUGGAACAGUCAUUGCAGCCCUGGACUAUUAAACUCAGACCACAUGUGACAAACUGAUACACUUCUAGCUGCUGUAUGGAGGGUAAAAGCAGUAGGCUCAAUCUGGAGCUAUUGCCGCUACCCAUUGAGGAGGAUGGUGCCUUGAACCUACCUGCAAAGUAGCCAUGAAGAUGGGACCGGACCCCAAUAGAACAUCCUUUGCCUCAUAUAGUGGAAAUAGCACAAACUCUGGCCUCAGUGAGAGCCAAGUUCUGCUUUUGAGUUCAUUACCUUUUUGCUGAGUGACCUUGAACAAGUUACUAAGCAUCUCUAAGUCUCAUUUAUAAACCCAAAUUAAGGUUCUUUUUUGGGGGUGUGAUGACUAAUUUUGAGAUGGCCUUCAGACAAACUCCAACACUGGCUUUUUCGUGGGUCCCCAGGCUGAUGGUCUGCUCUGGAGAUUGUGGACUUGCCAGCCUCUGUAAUUACAUGAGCCAAUCCCUUAAAAUAAAUCUCUCUUUCCAAAUAUGAUACAUACACAUUUACACAUCCUAUUGAUUCUGUGUUUCUGGAGAAUCUUGACUAACAUGGGGGUUAACUUCCUAUUAAUUUAUAUACAUAGAACAAACUGCACACACAUGAAGGGCACAGCUCAGUGAACCUUUACAAAGUGAACACAACCACCAUUUACAAGAAUAUCUGGAAUAUUAGAAUUCUGUGAAGAAAGUUAUAGCAGUGGUGUAAUGUGUUACUCUAAAUCCCUACAUUGGCUGGGUGCAGUGGCUCACACCUGGCAGGCAAAGGCGGGCAGAUCACCUGAGGUCAGGAGUUCAAGGCCAGCCUGGGCAACAUAGCGAGAUCCCAUUUUUGUGAAAAAUUUGAAAAAAAUAGCCAGGCAUGGUGGCAUGCGCCUGUGAUCUCAGCUACUUGGGAGCCUGAGGUGGGAGGAUUGCUUGAGCCCAAGAGAUCAAGCCUUCAGUGAGUUAUGAUGGCACACCUUCACUCCAGCCUGGGCAACAGAGAGAGACCCGGUCUCAAAAAAGAAGAAGAAGAAAAAAAAACCUCUGGAACCAUAACUAUUUAAAAAGAGCGGGUGUGGUGACUCAUGCCUGUAAACCCAGCACUUUGGGAAGCUGAGGCGGGUGGAUCAUGAAGUCAAGAGAUCAAGACCAUCCUGGUCAACAUGGUGAAACCCUGUCUCUACUAAAAAUACAAAAAUUAGCUGGGCAUGGUGGCGGGCGCCUGUAGUCCCAGCUACUCAGGAGGCUGAGGCAGGAGAAUCACUUGAACCCGGGAGGCGGAGGUUGCAGUGAGCCGAGGUCAUGCCACUGUACUCCAGCCUGGCGACAGAGCGAAACUCCAUCUCAAAAAA